UGCAGAAUCCCGUGAACCAUCGAGUCUUUGAACGCAAGUUGCGCCCCAAGCCGUCAGGCCGAGGGCACGUCUGCCUGGGUGUC
rnacentral:rRNA from 1 species